AAGAGGGGGGAGCGAUAUCAGGGCAAGAGCGAGAUGACGGACUAGGAGCUUGCUCCUUUGACGUUAGCGGCGGACGGGUGAGUAACACGUGGGUAACCUACCUAUAAGACUGGGAUAACUUCGGGAAACCGGAGCUAAUACCGGAUAAUAUUUCGAACCGCAUGGUUCGAUAGUGAAAGAUGGUUUUGCUAUCACUUAUAGAUGGACCCGCGCCGUAUUAGCUAGUUGGUAAGGUAACGGCUUACCAAGGCGACGAUACGUAGCCGACCUGAGAGGGUGAUCGGCCACACUGGAACUGAGACACGGUCCAGACUCCUACGGGAGGCAGCAGUAGGGAAUCUUCCGCAAUGGGCGAAAGCCUGACGGAGCAACGCCGCGUGAGUGAUGAAGGUCUUCGGAUCGUAAAACUCUGUUAUUAGGGAAGAACAUACGUGUAAGUAACUAUGCACGUCUUGACGGUACCUAAUCAGAAAGCCACGGCUAACUACGUGCCAGCAGCCGCGGUAAUACGUAGGUGGCAAGCGUUAUCCGGAAUUAUUGGGCGUAAAGCGCGCGUAGGCGGUUUUUUUAAGUCUGAUGUGAAAGCCCCACGGCUCAACCCGUGGAGGGUCAUUGGAAACUGGAAAACUUGAGUGCAGAAGAGGAAAGUGGAAUUCCAUGUGUAGCGGUGAAAUGCGCAGAGAUAUGGAGGAACACCAGUGGCGAAGGCGACUUUCUGGUCUGUAACUGACGCUGAUGUGCGAAAGCGUGGGGAUCAAACAGGAUUAGAUACCCUGGUAGUCCACGCCGUAAACGAUGAGUGCUAAGUGUUAGGGGGUUUCCGCCCCUUAGUGCUGCAGCUAACGCAUUAAGCACUCCGCCUGGGGAGUACGACCGCAAGGUUGAAACUCAAAGGAAUUGACGGGGACCCGCACAAGCGGUGGAGCAUGUGGUUUAAUUCGAAGCAACGCGAAGAACCUUACCAAAUCUUGACAUCCUUUGACAACUCUAGAGAUAGAGCCUUCCCCUUCGGGGGACAAAGUGACAGGUGGUGCAUGGUUGUCGUCAGCUCGUGUCGUGAGAUGUUGGGUUAAGUCCCGCAACGAGCGCAACCCUUAAGCUUAGUUGCCAUCAUUAAGUUGGGCACUCUAAGUUGACUGCCGGUGACAAACCGGAGGAAGGUGGGGAUGACGUCAAAUCAUCAUGCCCCUUCUGAUUUGGGCUACACACGUGCUACAAUGGACAAUACAAAGGGCAGCGAAACCGCGAGGUCAAGCAAAUCCCAUAAAGUUGUUCUCAGUUCGGAUUGUAGUCUGCAACUCGACUACAUGAAGCUGGAAUCGCUAGUAAUCGUAGAUCAGCAUGCUACGGUGAAUACGUUCCCGGGUCUUGUACACACCGC
rnacentral:rRNA from 1 species